rnacentral:rRNA from 1 species
GACGAACGCUGGCGGCGUGCUUAACACAUGCAAGUCGAACGGAAAGGCCCCUUUGGGGGUCCUCGAGUGGCGAACGGGUGAGUAACACGUGAGUAACCUGCCCUUGACUUCGGGAUAACUUCAGGAAACUGGGGCUAAUACCGGAUAGGAAUCCUUGCUGCAUGGUGGGGGUUGGAAAGCUUCGGCGGUUUUGGAUGGACUCGCGGCUUAUCAGCUUGUUGGUGGGGUAGUGGCUUACCAAGGCUUUGACGGGUAGCCGGCCUGGGAGGGCGACCGGCCACAUUGGGACUGAGAUACGGCCCAGACUCCUACGGGAGGCAGCAGUGGGGAAUAUUGCACAAUGGGCGGGAGCCUGAUGCAGCAACGCCGCGGGCGGGAUGACGGCCUUCGGGUUGUAAACCGCUUUCAGCAGGGGCGAAGCUUGUGGUGACGGUACCUGCAGAAGAAGCACCGGCUAACUACGUG